GGCAGAAAAUCCUAGCUAGGCUUAGGAGACCCAGUUUUCAGAUUGGAUUUGCCUUGGUUCUUAUCGAGUCCUAGUCUUUUGGAUAGAGGAACCUUAUAUCCAUAUAGAUACAUACAUUGUUUUGGUUUAGUUUUGGGUCAAUUUGGUUGUAGAAGUUUAUAUAUGUAAUCCUUUUAGCAUAAACUAAAACCAAUCAAAUCUCUUAAUAUUGCAACUGAAGACCAGCGGCGGACAAAAUACUUUUGAAAAUCGAUUCCAAUUUAAUCGACAAAUCUAGAUAUUUGUAAUUCUAAUGAUCAAUGAAAUGCUAAUAUUCAAUAUUAUUAAAAACUGAGUAAAUCAUAAACGUUAAAAAAAUAUAAAUGAAUAUCUAAUUAGAUAUAUACAUAUGCUUAUAUUAUAAAUAUAUGUAUGUAAAUUUGUAAUUACUUUUUUGUCUGUAGAAACUUUACAACAUUUUUAUCCUCUAAAUGAAUAAUUUUAUAUAAACAGUAUAAUUAUUUUUGUCUAAGCAAAUCUUGUUUAUCUUUUAAUUAAAUUAAGCAAAGCUUGUAACAUUUAUCAUUAAAUUAGUUAUUUAGCUACUAAUUCUUUUAAGAAAAAUAAUUAUAAUGAAAUAUUAUUGUUUACACUAAAUUUGAUUUUUGAUUAUUAUUUUCUACAAAACAGGUAGAAUAUCCCGUAAAUUUUUUUUUAAUCAAAUACCUGAAUAACAGUUAUUAUUUAAUAAUAAUUAUAUAUUUUUAAAUCACCCCAUAAGUGUCAGAACAAUUAUACCUCCAGCUUAUCUAACCUAUACUAAAAGGAGGAUAUCUAAAGCUCUAAGAGUGUCCACGUAUGCAAAUUAAUUCCAGCCAAUCAAAUCGUUUUAAGAUGCCAUAUCAGCUUUGACACAACCUAACCUAAAGGCUUUCUUCCUCUUUCGUGGCCUUUCCGAUUACUCCAGCCAACUUCACCGUUCAGAGUUUCGCUUACAUCUUCUCCAAUUAAUUUUACACAUUAUUGCCCUUUUCAAAACAGUCGCAUCCUUUCUCCACUUCCCUUUAUCAUUCAUAUAAAGAAGGAUGCAAAGUGAAAGCAAUCCACUCAGAUUCUGUGUCAAAAGCAGGUUAGUUCAAAAACUUAAUUCUGGGUUCUAUAGUUAUUAUAACAGUGUUUCAAGAAAAAAAAGUUAUUAUAACCGAUUUAUUUUGAUUGAGUUUCAUUGUCGUCAUUGCAAAGAGGGGGAUUUUAUUAAAUGGUGAGUUCUUCUGGAUGCUUUCACAUCGCACUUUCCUCCUGUCUCGAUCUUCAUAUAAAUAAAAUUAUUUUUUUGCAGCCCCAGAUUGUUCUACAACGGAGGAUUUCUACGCCACCAUAGGUAAUCUUGGUUUGGUGAUUUUAAUCCCAACAGCUUUGGUUUAGAUUUGAUAAUCCAUACAUUCACCAAGUCUUUUCAUUGUAGAUUGAUAGUUGUUGUUGUUCAAAUUAGUUCUUGCUUUCAAUUGUUGCCUCAAGAUCUCUGGUCAAGGGCAUCUCUUACCUUUGAUUUCAGAAUGCUUUCCGCCACAAAACUCAUCAAGAUCUCUGUUCUGUAUGUUUCAGGUCAUGGGUUUACUGGAAUAGUUAGUUGUCUACACAACAUCCCAGACUUAGAGAUCAGAAAAGAAGGGUUGGUGAAGAAGCUUCAAGUGAAACACGAGAAGAUUCUGAAUCUGAGCGAGUGGAUGAAGGGUAAAAGACACCACCGUCUUUGCAUUCUUCCAUAUAAUUCCGCCGCCUCCUGAUCCUUCUGACGAGGAAGCUGUUGUUGCUUACAAUACUUUGCUCAAUCGGUACGGUUUGAGCAAUGGUGAAUCUGGUUCUGUGUUGGGCAAAAGGAAAGAUAAGGGGGGGGGGAUCAGAAGGUGGGGUUGUGGGUAAGAGGAGGAAGAAGCUACGAGUUAGCUUUAGGGAUCAGUUAGGAGGAGAGCUUGCUGAGGUUGUUGGGAUGUCUGAUGGAGCAGACGUGGACACAGAGCCUGAUCCGAUUGGUGUCAAAGAAGGGAGCUUGCUUUCCUGAGUGUCGUCUUUCUUCUUAUAUUUAUGUAUGCAUCCCACCGUAGUCAAGACAGCAUAUGAGAGGUAUUCUAAAAGCUAGCUGUGGUAAAUGUGGCUCAUAAGAAGUUUUUGCUAAAGAACUCUCACAGUUGGCAAGUGGUUGACUUCCUCAUAUGCCCAUGAGCUGGCGGCACUGAGCAAUACAGAGGCUGCAUCACAGCACAUGUUCCAUGGCAGGUGCUUCAACACUCCAUGUUCUACAAGUUCUAAGCUCACUAACUUCUGUUAGUGAUGAUAGCAAUAUUUGAAACCGAAGAGAAAGCAGAACACGAGGAACAAAACACUGUGAAAAGACUAAAUGCGGUAUUAGACCCCUUGGCAAGGACAUAGCCAGUGUAUCGCAUGACUGAGUUGUUGAUGGAUCAUAUUGCAGCUACAACAACCCAUAUCCAAUGGUGAUCAUGCCCUUGGGGUCUCUCCUUUGUCCCCUCUUUCUCCAGGAACUCAGAGGUUCCUUCCUCUUAUUGUGCUUAUCUUUGUUCUAUGUCAGAAAAUUCAAACUCUGUUAAUGUUACAGCAGAAUCAUGCGAAUGUGAUAGAUGGAGAGUCCGCCAUAGUUCAUCUUCUAAAUCCAGCGUAGCUUCUCUGGAAAAUCGAAGGCUCCUGACAUUUGCAAAGUUUGCGGAGAAGCAUAGGCAAAAUCCAAGAUUACUAGAGAACCUUUCUGAAUCUAAGGCACCAGGUUGAAGGAUUUUGAAAACAAGAGAGGUAAAGGUCCCUGCAUAUAAGUGUUUGCUGAGCUUAUGUAUUGGAAGAUUCAUACAACCAGUUACGUAUGCGCUCCCCACAUGAUCUGAAAGGACGUCUGAAUGUGCAGUUUCAAGUUGAAGAAUGUUGCUUGUAGUCUUACAAGAUAGUGGUAUAAGUUAGUUUCACAAUUAUAUUUGACAUACGUUAACAGUUUUAUUCAAAUUGUUUCAAAUCAAAUAUAAUUUAAAAUAUGUUUCCAUUUUUUGACCGAGAACUUAAAAAAUAUAUUUAAUGAACGUAUGUAACUAUUUCUGGAACUAUAAAUUAAUAAAUAAUUUUCUGAAAUUGUAUCUUUGUCGUACCUGAAUAACAUAUGAUAAACAGCGUUGAUGUGCGUACUGCUAUUAGAUUACAGUCCUGAAUCAUAUUUGUUCUCCGGAAUAUCAAAUUGUUUAACUAAAAUAGAAUAUGCUCAAGUGCUGGCUAAAAUAGCUUUUACAUGCCAAAUACGAAGUCAGUUAUAUAUAAUUUUAAUAUUUUGAAACUUGACUGAUAAGCAUUUGACAACUAUCAAAUGAGUUUUUCAUUCUUCUUCUCAUUUUCAUUUCGUUUCUUUUUUAUUAUUGAGAUACUUUGAUUUUUUAUUAGCAUUGAAAUAUUUUAUGAGAUGUUUACUAAGACCAUCUUCAAUGGUUCACUCUAUUUUUUCAUCAAAACAGAGUUAUUCUAUAAUAAAAUUGAAUACUACUCCAAUAAUACUAAGUUUUAGAGUGAAAAAUAAAUUGAUGAAUAAAAAAUAAAUGAAUUAUUUUAUUUAUAGAGUACACCUUUUUUACUCUAUUAUAGAAUAAAAAGUAAAGUAUAAUUGAAGCAUUUUUACUCUAAACUCUAUUUUAGAUGAGAAAAUAGAAUGUGCUUAGAGAUGCUCCAAUGUAAAUGUCCUUACUUCUCUCCGAAAUAAAAUA